GAUGAAGAACGUAGCGAAAUGCGAUAAGUAAUGUGAAUUGCAGAAUUCAGUGAAUCAUCGAAUCUUUGAACGCACAUUGCGCCCGCCAGUAUUCUGGCGGGCAUGCCUGUUCGAGCGUCAUUUCAACCAUCAAGCCCCAGGCUUGUGUUGGGGACCUGCGGCUGCCGCAGGCCCUGAAAACCAGUGGCGGGCUCGCUGUCACACCGGGCGUAGUAGAUUUUAUCUCGCUCAGGGCGUGCUGCGGGUUCCGGCCGUUAAAAAGCCUUUUUUACCCAAGGUUGACCUCGGAUCAGGUAGGAAGACCCGCUGAACUUAAGCAUAUCAAUAAGCGGAGCA
rnacentral:misc_RNA from 1 species